GCCGCGAUUCGCGCACGAGUGUGGAGGAGGCUUUAGAUUAUAUUGAGACGAGUAGGUGCGUGUUAACAAUCUUACAUCUAGGUACAUUAGACUAAGUCGACGGCAUCAAGGCUAUAGCAAGGGUAUUAUACUCUACGAGCAUUGAAACAAAUACGUAGUCGUAAGUUAAAUAUUCCUAAAAAAGUACUGUCACAACAGUCACUAGUGUCUAUAAUAUAAGUAACCCUGUAAAAUGCCAAGUGCAUGCAGACGAGUCGCUCUAGUCAAACGAGUAGAUGUAAAUAAUUAGUACAAAGUAAUGAUAUAUAUUUUUUUAAGAAAAUGAAUGUAAAUUGGGAUUGGGAUACGACUUUCAAUUUGCAAAAUAAUCUGAAAGAAAUUUUUUUGCAAUUACAAAGAGAUCAGAUUUAAACAAAAUAUCGGUUUCAAAUCUCAACUUUAAAAUGAAGAAAUCAUUUUGCGAUUACGCACUUUACAGAGGUGUGUAUCGAAAAAUUCAGUAAAACAAAUAAAUUUAUAAUUUAGGAUAAUAAUCAGUACCAGAACUGUUCAGUUUCAGAGUCACCUAGUUCCUACUGUUCUUACUUAAGUCGUAUCUCCAAAAAAAAAUAGAAAAGAAAGGGAUGCUUAAAGCAAAAUUAGGUUUUAUUUGUAUUUAAUGUUAUGCAAUUUCAUUGUUGUCUUUAAUUGUGUAUAUUUCUUGUCAAAUUGUACGUGGGAUUUAUUUUAUUGUCUAGUUAUAUCAUUUAUACUUAAUAUUGAUUAAAUAAGACAACCUUAAUUAGCAUAUAAUUAUGUGUAACUGUUAUUUUUUACUUCGUGUUUUGUGUUAUUUAAGUGAAUAAUAGAUUGUUACAUUUAUGUCCUAGCCAAAAAUGAUUAUGGUUUAUGUAUAAAUUACAUAUUCCUACAAGAAAUAUAGCUAACCGACAUACCUCUUUACAAAACUUACUGGAAUUACUUAAAUAACCUGUUUAUAUUACUAAGCGAUCGAUACUAUCUUAAGACAUCCCAUUUAAAAACACCAUAUCAUUUCAGGUUAAAACCCUUUAUUUAAAGUAAUUAUCAUUGAAAAUAUUAUAUAAAAAUACUACGAUAGUAAUUAUUCUUAAAUGUGGUUUAGGUAUAAUUUGAGUACGGUGAAAUAUAAAAUCGGUCUAGCUGCCUCUCAUGGUUUCCUGUGUGUACUCUCGGGACUGCUUGUAAGUCAAAUAAAUAUGUAAAUUAAACCAAUGCAUUACAUAGUACCAUAUGAUUAAUAGAUGUCAUAAACAAGUACAACUAAAAAUAGUAGUCUCCGUAGUUAUUAAAUAUUUCAAAAAAAUUGUAUAUGAAUACGUGCUACACAGACUUCCUAUUAAAUGAAUAAACGUAUGUGUAUUAUAACAAGUAGCACCUGUCAAAAAUAUUGUGAAAAUGUAGGUUUUAAUUUAAAUGCCGAAUAAUUAGGAAAUAAAUUAAGAAAAGUAAUGAUUUCAAGCUGCUAUUUAAUUAUUCAUAAUACAAUAACCAUAUAACGAACUGUAUUUCAAUAUAUUGACUUGAAUAAAAAAGUUUAAUCCCACACAUACGAGCCGAAUGACUAGAUUAUCUUACGUAAUUAGACUAAAUUUAAUUUAUUAACGUUAUCUUAAUUGUUUUAUUGGCAUGGAGCUGGGUUAAGAUCUGAUAAAAGCAUUAUUUAAUUUAAUUGAUCACUUGUAUUUUUAUCGAACUUUCUGUAUUAGUGAAAUAAGUAUACUUAUCAGGCUUUUGGUUAGCUAAAGGUACUAGCCGUCACCCAUAAUUACCUAGGCAAACGUGUACAAUAGUCAGAGUCGUUUAUAAUUGGUAUUUAAUGUAAGUAGUUAAUAACAAUAGUAACUUUAGGUAAUAAAACGUCAAAAUGUGUUAGUUUAUUUAAAUAUAGCAUUUCUUAAUCUUAUACAAUCCAUUUUUUUUUAAUCGUUAAUAAUCAGUGUUCGAUUAUGUGUGUAUAGAAAUAUUACGACAUAUGUACAAAAAAGAAAACACUGUUCUUCUGAUGAUACUUAAUUAUUUUAUUGGCUAUAAUUGAAAUCAUAAGUUAAGGAUUACCUAGGUAUGAAAUAUUACUUUAUUAAUAAGUGUCAUAAUGUUAAUCAAAUACAAUAUAAAUAUGUAGGUAUCAUUAUUAUUCCAAGCUUUACGAGUUAAAGUAAUAAGUUAAGGUUAUACAUAUAUAAAAAAUAAUAGCUACGGUAAUAUAGUAAUAAUUUGUAAAUUUGCCAAUGAACGGCACACCGUACAGCAAAGACCAAAGACAUUUAUUUGCGAGGGUUGAACGAAGGAAAGUAUAUCUCUUAUAAUUUUUACUGUCAACUUUUUUAUUUGUGUUGUCCAUUGUCCUUUUUGGUAGCUUUUACGAGUAAAUAUGUCGGAAAUACCGCACUUUUAAACAUAUUUCAAAUACAGAUCCGAGCAAACUGGUGGUGAUCUUAUUAUUACAUCGAAUAGAAUUUCGACAUGCUAUAAUAAAGUCAAUUUAACACUAUAUUUAUUAGCCAACCUAUAAAAGUAAUCAAAUCACAUUAUUUUUACGUCUACAUUGUACGUACUUUUGUUUUAUUUUCUCGUCUUGGUGCGGUAUGAGAACAAGUAAGUAGGGUUCUAAUUAAUUUUUAAAAAUAUUUGUUGUGUCGAGUAUUUUUGUGUAAACCUUAUUUAUUAAGAAUUAUUAUUAAUUAAUCCCUAAAAUAACUUUGUAGAGGUUUCGCACGAAAACGAACGGAAUAAAACGUGGGCUUCCGGCUAAGAGAAGAUCUUAUCUCAUAUUACCUUAUUAAUUUGUAUAAUUAAUAUGUACUCAUUAUAUGUAAGUUAUGUUAACCUUUUGUGGUCUACCUAUUUAAUCACAUUAUUCAUUUACUAAUUUGCUUGGCAAGCCUUAGAAAAUAAGAGCUGUACUUUUUGUAUAUGAUGUCUUUCAUCCCUCGUUGUUUGUAUUGAUUAAGUAUAGUAUUAUACUACACAUGUAUUAUAUAUACUACAUUACAUUUAGUGAUAUACAUUAUAUACAGAAUAAUGUCAACAUUAUACUCGUAGUUAUAUAAUAUUACUAGAUAUCAUGAAAUGCGGCCAUGUGCAUACAAAACAAUUUAUAGUUAGGUAUUGAAAACAAAAUAACAUACGAAAACUGAACAUAAUUUAUCGAUUUAAACUUUACUCUGUCAAAUUUUUGUAUUUUUUUGUAAAUUUUAUAGAGUAAAGUCUCAACUUAAUUGGGAGUGUUGGGACUACACAUACAUAUAUGUAGUAGAUAGGUACAUAUGUAAGACGGUGGUCAGAAGUAUUUCAGGCCAUAGUGUGGAAAUAUAUUUUUCAUUACCUACAACUGAAAUGAAAAGAAUGUGUACAUCGCGUUCCCAUUUAACUUUUUGGGCCUUUUUAGAUCUUAGUGAUUUCCCAAUUACAACCUUAAAGAGUUCCGAUAGUCGAGUCGGGGCUUGGCGCCCUAAAACCAAGAUAUGGCGCACGCAUUAUGUUUUUUUGGAAAUCGGACCUUUCAUUCCUCCUGGUAUUAGUCUGGUACUCUUACGUUGUUUACCUCCUUAUGAUCAACUGGUAAUAAAUACCGUUUAUAUGUAAAACUCGAAUCGAGUCGGUACAAUAACUAUCAACAACCAAAGAUUUGGAAGCCGAAUGGCUGACAGUUCGCUGACAAAAAGUGUUCUACCUGUUUCAAUUAAAUAUAUUUUUUAAUUAUUUACCAUUAAAUUUGUUUGUAUAGAGGGAUCUUCAAUCAAAAUAAUUUCACUUACAUAAAAUCACAGUAUAUCAUAAUAAAUAAUAUAUUAAUGUUUAUUCGUAAUUAUGAUAUGUAUUAACUCAUACACUGCCAGACGGCGCAAAAAACGUGUUAUUCAGCUGCAACCGUAGCACGUCGCUCGCGCCUGGUAGUGAAUGAGUGUUGGUACAAUAGGACUCAAAGAUACUUACAUAGUAAACCUUUUACUUAUAUAGUUUAGAAAGUAGUAAUAUAAUAUAAUAAUUAAUAAAAGUUAAAAAAAGUUUGAAAAUUAAUUAAGGAAUAACAAAAAGAAACACUAUUUAUCUCGUAAAUUUAAUUAAACUAAGUAAUGAUAAAUUUUCACAUUUAAAUAAUUAUGUUUGACAUUUGAUCAUGUAGAAUAAUUAUUACUUAUUUAAAAAUUUAAUUUAUCAAAUCGUAGACGAUUAAAUAUUAUGUAUUAGCUUUAUAAGAUAAUUAACAAAAGUUAACUAAUUUAAUACUUAUGUAUAUACGAGUAGUUAACUUUUGGUAAGCUUCAAUCAUUUAUCUUAUUUUUGGAUGAUAAAGAAGAGAUCAUUUAAUGGAGAAAAGUAACUAAGUAUAUGAAGGUAUUUCAUGAAGAAGUGAAGAAUUAUAUUGCUACAGACUUAGCUUGGACAGACUAGCUAUAGUUUGAUUACUGACAUAUUUCUAUUUUAUUUAUUAUUUCAUGAACAUGUUUUGUGGUUGAGUCUAUUUCUAUAUGUUACUAUCUAACUUCUAUUAGUUAUUAUGCUAGAUAAAGUGCAAGGUAAAUGAGGUUGCAGCGCAAUGUUAAUAUUAAUGUUCUAUACUUAUUGCAGUGAAACUUAAUCGUAUUACUAAACAAUUGAUGUAAA